rnacentral:rRNA from 1 species
ACGAGUGGCGGACGGGUGAGUAAUGCUUGGGAAUCUAGCUUAUGGAGGGGGGUAACUACGGGAAACUGUAGCUAAUACCGCGUAAUAUCGGAAGAUUAAAGGGUGGGACUUUCGGGCCACCUGCCAUAAGAUGAGCCCAAGUGGGAUUAGGUAGUUGGUUAGGUAAAGGCUGACCAAGCCGACGAUCUCUAGCUGGUCUGAAAGGAUGACCAGCCACACUGGAACUGAGACACGGUCCAG